rnacentral:rRNA from 1 species
UAACGAAUAUUGGGCAAUGGGCGAAAGCCUGACCCAGCAAUGCCGCGUGCAGGACGAAGUCCUUCGGGAUGUAAACUGCUGUCAGGGGUCCGCAAGCGAAGGGGUCCAACAGGCCCUGGAGUUGAGCAGCCCCAGAGGAAGCCUCGACUAACUCUGUGCCAGCAGUCGCGGUAAGACAGAGGAGGCAAGCGUUGUUCGGAAUCACUUGGCUUAACGCGCGUGUCGGCGGCUUAGAAAGUGUCGUGUGAAAUCCCGCGGCUCAACCGCGGAACUGCACGGCAAACGACUUGGCUUGAGGUCGGUAGAGGUGCCUGGAACUCUAGGUGGAGCGGUGAAAUGCGUAGAUAUCGAGAGGAACGCCAGAAGCGAAAGCGGGGCACUGGGCCGAUUCUGACGCUGAGACGCGAAAGCGUGGGGAGCAAACA